rnacentral:rRNA from 1 species
UACGUAGGGGGCCAGCGUUGUCCGGAAUCAUUGGGCGUAAAGCGCGCGUAGGCGGCCAGAUAAGUCCGGUGUGAAAGUCAAAGGCUCAACCUUUGAAUGCCGCUGGAAACUGUCUGGCUUGAGUCCGGAAGGGGCGAGUGGAAUUCCUGGUGUAGCGGUGAAAUGCGCAGAUAUCAGGAGGAACACCAAUGGCGAAGGCAGCUCGCUGGAACGGUACUGACGCUGAGGUGCGAAAGCGUGGGGAGCAAACAGG